CAGCAGAUCGCUUCAUGCCUAUCAGCCUGCAGCACAUUCCUCGCAUUCUAGGAUUGAGAUACACAGUUUGGUUCUUGUGAGGGCAGCCAGGGCUGGGGAGGAGGGCAGAGAACAUCCCAGAGAUCAAGACUGCUCUUCUUGCUCCCUCCCCGACUGACUUGGCCCACACUGACUGGCCUGCCACCCCUUUACAGUGAUCUCCACCCAGUCUCUCUCUGCAAAGGCCUCCCUUGGCUCUCUGAUAAAGUUGGAGCUGUGGGUGCAGCAUUUCACUUGGACCUAGCAGCAUCAAUGAGCCAGCUCCUCACUGGGGAACAUGCAAACCCCCAGCUGCUGGUGUGCAGGAAAAGAAUCCAGGAGAUCACCUGAUGAAGCCCAGCAUUUUACAGAUAGGCAGUGGAGCAGGGGAAUCCAGUUGACACUGUGGCUAAAUUUCAGAAAACCUCCCAUGAGAUCUUGCAAAGGAGAUGGAGAAAAUAUGGCUGAAUGCCAGCAAGAGCAAAGUGGUGAAAGGACCCUGGUGAGAGGCCCAAAGAACAGGAGGUGUGAGCCAAGAGAAGGUCCUGCCAGGCCUAUGUUGCAGGCUAUUUGGAGGCUGAACUUGAGAGUGGCUGUGAGAGGAAAUUCAGAAGUAUCUUUGGAAGCAUUUUGUUAAUUUUGAGAUGCUGGGGACAUCAUCAAAAUGAAAAACUUUUGUGCCUCAAAGAACACCAUCAAGAAACUGAAAAGACAACCCAAGAAGACAAAAUUUGCAAAUCUUAUAUCUGAU
rnacentral:lncRNA from 1 species